GGAGACUAAAAAUUGUUUUCCUUUACAGUGACUCAGGAGAAAUCAGAGUUGGGUGAACUUUAUUCCAGUUCCUGAUAGAGAGUUUUCCAUCUGAGCAACCAUUAGCAGUGGGGUUGGACAGCAUUCUAAACUCCUCUUGUCUGCUUCUGAAACCGCUUGCUCUCUCUCUGAAGCACAAUAGAAGCCAUUCGGCCUGGCUAGUCUCUCAGGAGGGUCAACUUUACAUUUCCCAGCUCUGUGGAAUUCCUUUGAGAAAGCGUUUCAGAGAGCUGGCAUCACAUCCCUUCUCUACUAGAAGUUCCUUUACACUGACCCGAUCCAGGAGUGGUGAGAAGCAUGUAAAUUGUCAAAUGAAAUCCUGCUUGUGGUUUGGAAGGAGGAGAAAAUAAUAUGAACCCACCAGCUUUGUUUCUAACCAUGCUGAGAAGCUGUUUUUUUAAAACCCUUUCCAAAGCACUGGGUCCUCUGAGGGUGCUUGAUCAGUGAAUUGUCAAGGUAAAUUUCCAUCUACCAGUUCUCCAGUUUUAGCUCCAAUAAGAUGAUUCCAAAAGAAUAGAAUUGCACAGUGAAGCAAUCUAAGAAAAAUAUAUCUACCAAAGUUCGGGGAAAAUGCCAGGCAUGACAUGGAUAGACAGGCAAAAACUAAGGCCGGGCAUGAUGGCUCACGCCUGUAAUCCUAGCACUUUGGGAGGCCGAGGCAGCUGGAUCAUGAGGUCAAAAGAUUGAGACCAUCCUGGCCAACAUGGUGAAACCCCAUCUCUACUAAAAAUACAAAAGUUAGCAGGGAGUGGUGGCGCAUGCCUGUAGUCGCAGCUACUCAGGAGGCUGAGGCAGGAGAAUCACCUGAACCCAGGAGGCAGGUUGCAGCGAGCCAAGAUCGCAUCACUGCACUCCAGUCUGGUGACAAGAGAGAGACUCUGCCUAAAAAAUAAGAAAGGCAAAAACUAUUGGCAAGGAGACCAAAAACUAGAUAGACAAAGAGCAAUGGCAACUUUGAAUGUCAAGAAUAACGUAC
rnacentral:lncRNA from 1 species